rnacentral:rRNA from 1 species
AUAAGAUUUCCCUAGGACUUUAUGUCCUCUAAAGAGCCGUUCGAGACUAGGACGUUGAUAGGUUGGAUGUGGAAGCAUAGUGAUAUGUGAAGCUGACCAAUACUAAUUGCUCGUGAGGCUUGACUAUACAACACCCAAGCAGUUGUAUAUANGUUGAUAGGUUGGAUGUGGAAGCAUAGUGAUAUGUGAAGCUGACCAAUACUAAUUGCUCGUGAGGCUUGACUAUACAACACCCAAGCAGUUG